CAAUAGCGUAUAUUUAAGUUGUUGCAGUUAAAAAGCUCGUAGUUGGAUUUCGGAUGGGACUUGCCGGUCCGUCGUUUCGAUGUGCACUGGCCAGUCCUAUCUUGUUGUCGGGGACUAGCUCCUGGGCUUCACUGUCCGGGACUAGGAGCUGACGAGGUUACUUUGAGUAAAUUAGAGUGUUCAAAGCAAGCCUACGCUCUGAAUACAUUAGCAUGGAAUAACACGAUAGGACUCUGGCUUAUCUUGUUGGUCUGUGAGACCAGAGUAAUGAUUAAGAGGGACGGUCGGGGGCAUUCGUAUUUCAUUGUCAGAGGUGAAAUUCUUGGAUUUGUGAAAGACGAACUUCUGCGAAAGCAUUUGUCAAGGAUGUUUNCAUUA
rnacentral:rRNA from 1 species